CCUACGGGAGGCAGCAGUGGGGAAUUUUGGACAAUGGGCGCAAGCCUGAUCCAGCAAUGCCGCGUGAGUGAAGAAGGCCUUCGGGUUGUAAAGCUCUUUUGUCAGGGAAGAAACGGCUGAGGUUAAUACCUUUGGCUAAUGACGGUACCUGAAGAAUAAGCACCGGCUAACUACGUGCCAGCAGCCGCGGUAAUACGUAGGGUGCAAGCGUUAAUCGGAAUUACUGGGCGUAAAGCGUGCGCAGGCGGUUUUGUAAGUCUGACGUGAAAUCCCCGGGCUCAACCUGGGAAUUGCGUUGGAGACUGCAAGGCUGGAGUCUGGCAGAGGGGGGUAGAAUUCCACGUGUAGCAGUGAAAUGCGUAGAGAUGUGGAGGAACACCGAUGGCGAAGGCAGCCCCCUGGGUCAAGACUGACGCUCAUGCACGAAAGCGUGGGGAGCAAACAGGAUUAGAUACCCUGGUAGUCCACGCCCUAAACGAUGUCUACUAGUUGUCGGGUCUUAAUUGACUUGGUAACGCAGCUAACGCGUGAAGUAGACCGCCUGGGGAGUACGGUCGCAAGAUUAAAACUUAAGAGUAGUAGCGNGNGAGAGCGACGACGACGACGACGAGGAGG
rnacentral:rRNA from 1 species